AGAGUUUGAUCCUGCUCAGACGACGCUGACGGCGUGCUAAUACAUGCAAGUAGAACGCUGAAAUAAGAGCUGCUCUAUGGAUGAGUUGCGAACGGGUGAGUACACGUGGGGAACCUACCUUCUAGCGGGGAUAACACAUAGAAAUGUGUGCUAAUACCGCAUAAUAGUAUUGAUGCAUAUCAGAUACUUGAAAGGCGCAAUUGCGUCACUAGAAGAUGGCCCCGCGGUGCAUUAGCUAGUUGGUGAGGUAACGGCUCACCAAGGCAAUGAUGCAUAGCCGACCUGAGAGGGUGAUCGGCCACACUGGGACUGAGACACGGCCCAGACUCCUACGGGAGGCAGCAGUAGGGAAUCUUCGGCAAUGGACGCAAGUCUGACCGAGCAACGCCGCGUGAGUGAAGAAGGUUUUCGGAUCGUAAAACUCUGUUGUAAGAGAAGAACGUUGAUGAGAGUGGAAAGUUCAUCAAGUGACGGUAUCUUACCAGAAAGCCACGGCUAACUACGUGCCAGCAGCCGCGGUAAUACGUAGGUGGCAAGCGUUGUCCGGAUUUAUUGGGCGUAAAGCGAGCGCAGGCGGUUGAUUAAGUCUGAUGUGAAAGCCCCCGGCUCAACCGGGGAGGGUCAUUGGAAACUGGUCAACUUGAGUGCAGAAGAGGAGAGUGGAAUUCCAUGUGUAGCGGUGAAAUGCGUAGAUAUAUGGAGGAACACCAGUGGCGAAGGCGGCUCUCUGGUCUGUAACUGACGCUGAGGCUCGAAAGCGUGGGGAGCGAACAGGAUUAGAUACCCUGGUAGUCCACGCCGUAAACGAUGAGUGCUAGGUGUCGGAGGGGAACCUUCGGUGCCGCAGCAAACGCAAUAAGCACUCCACCUGGGGAGUACGAUCGCAAGAUUGAAACUCAAAGGAAUUGACGG
rnacentral:rRNA from 1 species